UACAGAGGGUGCAAGCGUUGUUCGGAAUUACUGGGCGUAAAGGGCGCGUAGGCGGCCGCCUAAGUCAGACGUGAAAUCCCUCGGCUCAACCGGGGAACUGCGUCUGAUACUGGGUGGCUUGAAUCCGGGAGAGGGAUGCGGAACUCCAGGUGUAGCGGUGAAAUGCGUAGAUAUCUGGAGGAACACCGGUGGCGAAGGCGGCAUCCUGGACCGGCAUUGACGCUGAGGCGCGAAAGCCAGGGGAGCAAACGGG
rnacentral:rRNA from 1 species